rnacentral:lncRNA from 1 species
AGGAGGUAAAAGAAAACGUGGAGAGACAAGUAACUACACCAUUGCUUUAGUCCAGAACUACAUACUGGAAUACAAAGAGAAACAAGAAAAUGGAUGCUCAGCAGCCCUGGGAAAUGAUACCUCAAUGUGCAAGAAUCUACUCCAUUUGUGCUAAUUAAUUUGUCUUUUCCCUCACCUAAGAACUUCUGUCACUCAAAUCCUCCCCAUACUCCAAAGCAGUGUCC